GCCCGACUGGCUCAGUCGGUAGCGCAUGAGAUUCUUAAUCUCAGGGUUGUGGGUUUGAGCCCCAUGUUUGGCG
rfam:Lepisosteus oculatus linkage group LG4, whole genome shotgun sequence.